GACUACGGCGGGCGCUGUGGGAGUGGAGAAGCUGCAAGUGCUGAGGCGCGGUGGAGGAAAGCAUGGGAGCCAAGAGUAUGAGGAGCUGGUGUCUGUGUCAGAUUUGUAGCUGCGGGUAAGAAACGGCUGGUGUAGCGGCGGGCCCGGGCUUGGGAGCCGACCUAGGGCCUAGGUGCACGGAGCCGGCUCCUCGGGAACCCUGAGAGUGGCCGUCCCCCGGAGAUGAAGGGACGAGGGCGCAGCGACAUCCCCACUUAUCCCGCUCCGCGAAUACUCGCUCCUCACCCGCCUGCUACCCGGGGGUAAAACGUUUGUUCGUAGCCCCUGAGACUCCCAAUCAAGGAUGCAAAGUAAAAUGCCACCCGGGCCAGGCGACAUCAUUGUCCACGUGGAACCACAAGGAUUUAUGAAAAUUCUGGGGUGUUUUGCCCUACAACUGAAUAUUUGGAAAAAUAUCCUAUGUAUGACAAUGUUCUUCCACCUCAGAGUCUUAAAGCCAAGCAAGAAAUUCGAGCAUGCCAUGGUAAAAUGGAAGGAAUAACUACAUUUAA
rnacentral:lncRNA from 1 species